GUGGGGAAUAUUGGACAAUGGGGGGAACCCUGAUCCAGCCAUGCCGCGUGUGUGAAGAAGGCCUUUUGGUUGUAAAGCACUUUAAGUGGGGAGGAGGCUUACCUGAUUAAUACCUGGGCUAAGUGGACGUUACCCACAGAAUAAGCACCGGCUAACUCUGUGCCAGCAGCCGCGGUAAUACAGAGGGUGCAAGCGUUAAUCGGAUUUACUGGGCGUAAAGCGCGCGUAGGUGGUUAAUUAAGUCAAAUGUGAAAUCCCCGAGCUUAACUUGGGAAUUGCAUUCGAUACUGGUUGGCUAGAGUAUGGGAGAGGAUGGUAGAAUUCCAGGUGUAGCGGUGAAAUGCGUAGAGAUCUGGAGGAAUACCGAUGGCGAAGGCAGCCAUCUGGCCUAAUACUGACACUGAGGUGCGAAAGCAUGGGGAGCAAACAGGAUUAGAUACCCUUGUAGUCC
rnacentral:rRNA from 1 species